rnacentral:lncRNA from 1 species
UCGAAUAAUAGGUUGAUGGAGGAUGUGGUUUCUCUCUUUCGUUUUCUUAUUCUCUUUUCUUUUUUACGUUCUUGUGUCUUUUUGUUAUGUGGGAUCGCCCGCAUAUUUAUAAGGGAUUCCAAAAUCCUAAUAGCGUUAGAGAUAAGGCCAAAUCGGUUAUUAAUUGUUAUCCUAAUAUGACUAGGAUUUAUCUCUAACUAGCUUUCCAAUUUGAAAGCGAGAUUAAUUCCAAUCCAAUUAGAUAACAUAAUAUCCGUCGGAUCGAACCCGCUUAUGGGCGUACCCGAUUCGAUUUAACCGAAUGCCAAG